UCCUCCCUUUCUAUUCUACCAAAUGCACCCUAAGGGUCUAGAUCUGUUAUUUUUCUUGAAUUAAAUAAAUUAAAAUUUUAGAAAUUUAUUCUCACCCUCACAUUGAGUAUUAGAGGGUCCACUAUGGAAAAUGAUCUCAUCUUGGAUCAUUAAGCUUGUUACAUUACACAAACACCAUUAAAAACAUUAUAUUUGGCUUGCUUUUGGGUCACCCCCAUUUUUCUUAUAGGAUGCCUCCAAUAAUUGUCCUUAGGUUGAUGUUUAUCCUCCAAAUUGUUAGUAUAAUUGUAAGUAUCCUUCUAAGGUCUUGAUCAUCCUCUUCUUCUUGAAAAAUAAUUGCCCUCAAAUUUAGAGGUUCCUUGCAUUAUUUGCAUCAAGAAAUGAGACAUGAAUUAUUUCAUAACAAAAUGGAAGAAUACUCACA
rnacentral:lncRNA from 1 species